rnacentral:lncRNA from 1 species
AGAAAAUAUUUAAGGAAUCGACAUCUGUUCUUACUUGUCAGUAAGAAUAUUGAACUGUUUUGGUUUUGCCGUCAAACCAAGUUCCGAGCUACACUUUCUGGAGUGCUUUAUGCAUAGGUAUUACCAGUUCGCUGUAAAAGCUAUUUACUUUGAUGGUUUAUCAUGUCUUGCAUUGUAGACAUACUUUUUAUCAGUUGACCUUCAGUUUGUUAUUUGGCUGCCGAUAUAGGAAUAUAUUACCAAUUUGUGAGAAAUAGGCUAGAUUUUGAAACUUUUUAAACCCUUGUUUUUCCACUACUGUUUAUCUGGGCAGAAGCAUCUGCUUGUAGUUUCAUGGUUUUCAAACAGCUUAAGUGAAGGAAAGGAGUCCCUCUAAACAGAAAAUAAUGUUUUCAUUAAGUGGAAACUAUAGUUAAAGGUCUCAGCAAUUUAAUGAUACAGGAUUUUUUUUUAACUCUUAAAAAUAUAUACUGAGGUGUUAGAAAUGAUUUAUGCUAACCAAGUCCUACUAGUGAGCUCAUAAUUAUGGGAUGAUUUAGCUAUAAUUUGUAACUCUGGUUAUAAUUAGCUUUGUAUCCUAGGCUGGGAAAGCCUUCAGUGAGGGAGUUGUUGCGUGGGAAGUCUCUGUGUGUGAUUUCCAGGCUGUCGGCACAGAAAGGCUUUACCUGUUGCUUCUGAGUCGGGUCCAGCACUCAGAGAACACGGAUGAACACAUGUUGGAUGUAUUCCUAUGGACUGGCUGAUGGACUGCAAGGAGUCAAGAAUACGAACAAGGCGUGAAGAUAUGGAUCUCUCCAUUCCCUCUUGUGGUGCCCUCGUCUCUGCCUGAAGAGAUAGAACAUCAAGGAUGGGCAGGUGCCCCCACCCGGCGUCCUUGGCCAAGGGAGUUGGUCAGGAUUCGUUAUAUGUGUGAGGAACCUCUAUUUAACUAUGUUAUACAAAAAAGGAUUUACUGGCUCAUAUGACUGGAAAAUCCAGCAAGAUUGACCUUGCUUCAGUCGUGGCGAGAACCCAGAGGCUCACGUGGGCUUUGUAAGGGCUCCCUCUCUUUCUCCCUAUUUCUCAGCUCCUUGCUCUCUGGGUCAGCUUCAUUCUGAGGCCCCUUCCUAUGUGCUGGGAAAGCUGACCAUCAAGUAGUUCCCAUCCUGCCUUCUUGGGCUUUUGAGCUAUAGAAAAGAGGGGUUUUGUCUCUUCCAGGUCCUGUUCAUAGAUAGUUCCUUCAAGGGCUCUGACUGGCCCUAUAUCAGUCCACAUGCAGUCUUGAACUAGAUCAUGUGCUCCAUGCUGUGUACAUGGUGGUGGUGGUAGGGUGGGGA